UGCCGCUGUCUCUACUUUCUUAGGAGUUUAAAGAGAUUCGGUAUGUCUCCAAAGAUUCUACAAACAUUUACAGAUAUAUUGCAGAAAGUAUCCUGACUGGUUGCAUCAUGGCCUGGUAUGGCCAUUCCAACAGAGGACCACAAGAGGCUGCAAGAGUGGUGGACCCAGCCUGGUCCAUCACAAGCACAACCAUCCCCAUCAUCAAAAGCAUCCACAUGAAGUGUUGGCUCAAGAAGGCGGCAUCUAUGAUCACGGAUCCCCACCAUCCUGGCCAUGCCCUCUCCUCACCGCUACCGUCGGGCAGAAGGUACAGAAGCUUGAAGUCCCACACCACCAGGUUCAGGAACAGCGACUUUCCUACAGCCAUCAAGUUCUUGAACCGACCCACACAACCCUAAUCCCACCUCAACAACUGAGGCUUGUGG